rnacentral:rRNA from 1 species
CGCGUAGACGGUUUUGUAAGUCAGAUGUGAAAUCCCCGGGCUCAACCUGGGAACUGCAUUUGAUACUGCAUGGCUAGAGUAUGGAAGAGGGAAGUGGAAUUUCCGGUGUAGCGGUGAAAUGCGUAGAUAUCGGAAGGAACACCAGUGGCGAAAGCGACUUCCUGGUCCAAUACUGACGUUCAUGUGCGAAAGCGUGGGGAGCAAACAGGAUUAGAUACCCUGGUAGUCCACGCCAUAAACGAUGACAACUAGAUGUUGGGAGGGUCUGCCUCUCGGUGUCGCAGCUAACGCGUUAAGUUGUCCGCCUGGGGAGUACGGCCGCAAGGUUGAA